CCGCACGCACCGCCCGGAACUGCCGCCCGCCGCCCGCGCUGCGCGGGGGAACUGCGGUGGUGGCGGACCUGCCUGGGCGCCUUCCUCCUCUUCCUCCUCCUCCUUCUCCUCCUCCUUCUCCUCCUCCUCCUCCUCCUCGUCUCCGGCCAUGAAACUGGGGGAGAUCCCAAAGACUGAAGAAAGGCAAAUAUUAUCUUCAUAAAGGGCAAGAAGGACAAGCAAGAGAACUACAGACUGGUCAGCCUCAUUCCUUCCUGCUGUGGAAGGAUCGUGGAGGAAGCCAUUUGUGGCAAAAGAAGACACAACUAUGGCUGCUACAGUGAACUUGGAGCUGGAUCCCAUUUUUCUGAAAGCCCUGGGCUUUUUGCACUCCAAGAGCAAGGACUCUGCUGAAAAGCUGAAAGCACUUCUUGACGAGUCGUUGGCCAGAGGAACUGACUCGAGCUAUCGUCCCUCUCAGAAGGAAGUAGAGCAACCAAAAGUAUCUGUCACCAAACCCAUUAAGCAAGAGCCUAAAGCUUCAUCCAGUUUGCCUUCUGGCAACAACAAUGGCAAGCCCACUGCAUCAGAAAAGGUGAAAAAAGAAGCAGAAAAGAGAUCUGCAGAUAAAACAAAAGGGGAUCCUGCUGAAGGAGCUGAUGCACCAAAGAAGCCCAGGGUAGAGAAGCAAGAGGCUCGCUCCUCUCCUAUUACAGUUCAGACAAGCAAGGAUUUAUCCAUGCCUGAUUUAUCUAGCUUUGAGGAAACCAGUGCUGAUGACUUUGCCAUGGAAAUGGGAUUAGCCUGUGUUGUUUGCAGGCAAAUGACAGUUACUUUUGUGAAUCAGCUAGUGGAGUGUCAGGAGUGCCAUAAUCUCUACCACCAGGAUUGCCAUAAACCUCAGGUGACAGACAAGGAAGUGAAUGAUCCUCGACUUGUCUGGUAUUGUGCCCGCUGUACCAGGCAGAUGAAGAGAAUGGCUCAGAAGACACAAAAACCACCUCAAAAACCAGCUCCUGCAGUGGUUUCAGUUGCACCAGCUUUGAAGGAUCCAUUGGUCAAGAAACCAGAAAUCAAGUUAAAGCCUGAGACCCCACCAGCUUUUCUGGCAUUCAAGAGAACAGAAGUCAAGACUUCAGCAGCAGUUUCGGGGAACUCUGCCAGUACAAGCGUUUCCUCUUCAGCAACGAGUGGCCUUACAGGAUGGGCUGCUUUUGCAGCCAAAACCUCCUCUGCCAACCCAUCAACUGCCAAACUGGGAUCGACGGCACAGAGUGCCGGCGGGAAACCUGCAGCUUCUUCAAAUAACCAGAAACCCGUGGGUUUGUCAGGGCUGGCGACUUCAAAGACGGGACUGGGGGCCAAAAUAGCUUCCGCCAACAACAGCGCUAACCCCGUUCAGCUGAAGCCUCCCCCGCCGCUGACCCUGGGCAAGACGACGCUGAGCCGCUCGGUGAGCAGCGACAACGUGAGCAAGGCGGGGCUGCCCAGCCCCAGCAGCGCCGCCCCCAGCACCGGCGGCCCGGCCGGCGGCGGCAACGGCGGCGGCGGCUCCGGGGGCAGCAGCGCGGGCGGCGCCGGCAAAGCCGCGGCUGACACCGGCAACCAGCCGGCGUCCCUGAAGGGCCCCACCUCGCAGGAGUCCCAGCUCAACGCCAUGAAACGGCUACAAAUGGUCAAGAAGAAGGCUGCUCAAAAGAAGCUCAAGAAGUAGUCUGGCUGCUUGCUUGGCUGUGUUCCGUGAGACGGUGGCGUCGGUGUUUUUCUUAAAUGAAAUCCCCCAGGAACAACAAGAAGACAGGCACAGUGUGUAUCAUACUUACCUGCUGAUCAUCCAUACCCUGAAGAGCACCAGUCCCCUUGCCAUUAAUUGCAGGAUUUUCACAGAAGUGGAAAGGUGAGCUGCUGUCACUCUUCUGGUACCCUGGACUGCUUGUGCUGCUGUCAGCAGGGGGCCGUGAAGAGACAAAGAGGCUGAUGUCAUCAAAAUCAUCAUCACCAAAGCCAUUUUCUGCUACAUCCUUCUGCGCUUUGGCUGGAUUGUAUGGCUUCAGGAAGGAGGAAUACACAUACCCUGUGAGGACUAGAAACCAGAAUAAAGAGAUAGAAAAUAAAUAAACAGCAAAACGCUGCUAAAAUCAUUUCAAAACCAACCGUUUUAUGCAGCUGUUAGUAUGACAGAGGCAAACAGAUGGGGCCAGAAUGAAAAGAAAUCAAUAUCCCAAAGGGAAGCUGUUAUUGGGAUAUUUGUGCAGAGAACUUACUUCCUGUGUCAACAAGCCAUCUGCUCGUGCUUCCAAAGGGGUCCUUUUGCUCCACAACAGCCACCAGAUCUCCUUCCUGCAGGUCAAUGUCGAAUUCCUGCGCAGCGUUGCACUUGCGCUUGGCCUGGUACAGCGACUCCGUGCUGUACGUGGCCAGCAGCUUGGACCUGUGCUCCUCCGUUUGCCGUGGGGACUCCAGCUGGAAACAAACCAGUCCUCAGUAAUGCUGGGGUCAUUUCCAAAGAAAAAUCUGGAUAAAAAUGCUGCAUGUGGCAACUGACUCAGGGUUUUCACACGCAGACCAAGGAGUUACUUGCAGCGGGACCAAAUCUCCUCUGCAUAUGCAGGAAGAACCUGUCCCACUGCUAUAUUAACAGGUGAGCUGUAAAGGGCAGAUUUCAAAGAAAUGUAGGAAUUUCACUAAUUAAAGACCUCUUAGUCUGUUCUCUGCUCUCAAAGAGGUGGUGUUCUGUAUGUGAACUCUCUCCUGCUUAAUUGGUUUUCUGUAGCCAUGACCUUUGUAUUUCUAUGUAAUAUCACAAAAAAUACAUAAUCCAAAAAUGGGCUGAGGUGUGCUAAGGCCACAUAACAACUUGCGUGAUAAAGCAUUAGGGAAAAAAAAAAAACAAAAAAAAAACACCAAAAAAAACCAGUGGUACCCCAAAUUUUUGUGUGAAAUUACCUCUCUAAAUGAGGGCAAGAUGCCAUUACCAGCUGGAAGCAUAUUCAUUUCAGGGUUUGGUUAUAGGGCAGGGAGGGGGAUGCUGCACAUCAAUGGGAUCUUAACAUACCACAGAAGCAAGAGCACCUGAUGCUGAAACAACUGCCCCAGCUUCUCCUGUAAACCUGCAUCCAAAUCCUUAUUUUACUGUAAACUCAACUCCUAAAACCUCCAGAAACAUCUGAUGAGAUUGGAAACACAGAAUUCGUGGUGGAUUUUCUGAAUCUUGCGCUGUGGGUGUGUAUGUUUCUGCAUAUAUGUGUGAACACCCGUGCACAUAACCACAGCUGAGCACAAGGAAAGAAAAAUUUCUGAAUUAGAAGACUAAGAUGCACUACAAGAGUAUUUAAAAAAAGAAGUUACCAAAAAUAUACCUUAGCCUUACCAUGUGCUUAAAGGCCUAAGGGCAAUUUGAGGUAAUUCAAGUGGAUUUUCAAGAUAUUAACAUGAAAAAAGUGAAAAAUCAUCUGAAGUUACUGGUCAAUGAAAACUUUACUCCAACAACCUGAUUCAGAGUCACAGUGGAGAGACAAAGCCCAAACCUUAAGGUAGUAUAAAAAUGGAUUUGUUUCAAAAGUGAUCAAAAGAGGAUGCUUCAUACACAAUUUGGAUGUAUGGUACUCACCAGAGAAGGAACAGGUUUCUUUUUUUCUAGGCUCAAUUUUCCCUCAAUAAAGAUUGUACUGAUGUUUUCUUUUACAAAAUUCAGCUUGUGAACCUCCUCCAUCAAUUGAUUCUGCACUUCACAGAUGCUUGAGGAGGACAGCUGCGAACACAAAUGUGGGUUAGAUCUCAUGUACAAAAUGGGAGGGAGAUUGGAGAGAGCAGAUUUAAUUUAAUUUGCUGAGUGCUAGGAGUCAGGAAAUCUGACAAGUUAUGACUAUUUUCUGCAGAGCCCAUAAGCAGUGCAAUCUCUACAUAUGAGAUGUAAAGAGAAGAAAGGUCUUUGCUUAAAGAAAGUCUCUAAUAGAUGCUAUUACAUUUAAAAGACCUAGAAAUUAAAGUCAAAUCAUUAAAAAUAUUCUAAAUGGUGAUGAAAAUUAAGAGUCUUGCAUUUAUGCUACUGAGCCACCUGCUUUCACAUGCAAAUGGGCAUCUCAGCAGCUAUCAGAGUGGCCAAUGUGCUACAAGGUUUGGAGCAGUUUAUCCCACAGCUGUGUGUUUGUGCAACUGAGAGCUGCAAACAGGUUAAAAAUUGUUGGGUAACUGACAGUCUGUGGUACUGAAUAAGUGAUUUUUGUAUAUGCCUAAUACCAAAUGCAUUUGCUGAUGUAAACAGGAAGAAAAGAAAAAGAAGGUAAUUUUGUAGCCAGAUCCUCUCAGAAAACAAUGCAACAGCUUUCAACACAUGAAAACAUCAAAUUACAGGAAUGAAAUUUCUUAAUGCAGAAAAAUCCUUAAUUUUCCCAUUAAACACCAUAGCUCUAUGUUUUGAUCCUGACCUUGUCUGCUUAAUUUUUCAGCUGCCCCUUACUAUAAUGUGCUCUGUUCCAGCCUUGAUGGAAAGGAAUACUCCAGAAUUGCCUUACUAGAGUGUGUUUCCCAAGCAGCCUUGUUCUGUUCAGGUGAGUGGAUUUGUAUGUGUGGAAGGCAUUGUUGCAGCUGUGUUUCUCAGGGGGUUCAAGUCCUCCAGGUGAGGCUAUUCAUUACUGCUGAGAGAUAUCUGCAGGAGUUUCUGCAUCAUAUUUGGGUUUUAAAGCACCUUGAUUUUCAUAAAAACUAUUGCAUUGGAUCUCCUAACUUGUUUCUCUUUUGCAGUCAUCUGUGACUCUGCAGUCUAGCAGCAAAGGAGGUAUUCAUGCACUUUCUUAUAAUUUCCUGUGUCUUCUGGGCUAGUCAGGGUCCAUGCUAAGAUAUGCUAGCAGCUGCCUUCUUUUUGCCUCCCUGUAAUACUCUUGCCAUUACUAUCACUGCGACAGUAGGAACAGUUCCAUUAGGAUCAUUCUCAAAGAAAAACCCAGGUCUGACAAAAGUUCAGAACAGAAGUUCCUCAAAACUGACUCCAGAGUGACCUUGCUGUGACCUUCAGUACGUAGCGGGGGCCUAGAGGAAAGCUGGAGAGGGGCUUUUUACAAGGGUAUGUAGUGACAGGACAAGGGGGAGUGGCUUUAAACUGAAAGAGGGCAGGUUUACAUGGGUUUACUGUGACCCUGGUGAGGCACUGAAAUGGCUUCUACAAGGAAGCUGUGGGUUCCUUAUCCCUGGAAGCUUUAAAGGUAGGCUUGGAUGGGGCUUUAAGCAACCUGGUCUAAUGGAAGGUGUCCCUGUUAAUGGCAGGAAAAUUGGAACUAGAUGAUCUUUAAAAUCCCUUCCAACCAAACCAUUUUGAUUCCAACAUAAUCUGUACUGAGCUUGCAAAGGAAAAAAACCCCAAAUAUAACUGUGCUCAGCAGAACAAACAAAAUCAGAAAAUCAGUAAAUCAGUGUAACUUUCUAGAUAUGUGUCCUACAUAACUUUACCAAAGCAUACAGAAAGAAGAAAAGAGAAAUUAAGGCACAGCUACCCCUGUUUCUAAUGUACUUACUGGAACAGGCACCAUGACAGCAGAGUUUGAUUCAAGUGCUGCAAGCAUAAUAUUCCUGAGGAGGGUGAUGAAGCAGUGUAGACAGUUCAACACGAUCUUUUUGGCUGCUCCGUUGAAUACCUGAAGUUCUUCCACUAGCUGUGCAUUUAGAGCCUCAUAUUCUUUCUUUGCCAUCUCCAGGUCUGCUCCAGCUGACCUCUGAAUGUAGCUGUUGUAGUCCAACAACUUGUCAUAGCGCUUCUGGAUGAGGUUCUGAGGGCCUGGAAACAGGGCUUGCAGUGCUGAGAGAGGAGUCAAGACAAGCUUGUCCAGCUGAGCCAUCUGGAAAGUGUAAACCAGACCUGCUCAUUACCUUAUUCACACAGUCCAUCAGAUGCCAUAAGGGGCUGAGCCUGAUGGCAGCCCAUCAAGCAAUCUGUUAAUCACUCUUCACAAAGCUUUGCUGCCAGAGGCAGCUUCAAGCAGGGUCCAGCAUGCUUUAGAAUCUCCUUCAUAACGGGAGAUGUUAAUUCUUUAGAUGUUAGUUUCUCAGCUUUCAGUGUCUGCAAAUGGCAGGGGUCCCUUGGAGCAUGCAGGUACUGCCCCUAGGGAGCUGCCUCUGGGGGAAAACAGCAAGGAUUGGUCAAGUGGUCAAAUAAAACUGGUAUUUCCUUAGCUGGAAGGCCCACAUCAAUAUACAGUCUAAAGCAAAUGAGGUCUUAUUAAGUGGCAGCCUUGAAUUCUCUCAAAGCUGCCUUUUUUUCUUUUUUUUUUUUUUUUUCUUUUUUUUUUUCUUUUUUUUUUCCCUCCUCUCCUGGAAACAGCUGUAACUCAAUUCCUGUUUAAGCAAACACAAACAAUCACUUGAUUUGAUUAAAUUAGGUUAUGCUUGUUGGUUUUAUCUCUAGUAAUCAACAAAAUUAGACACCUGGUAAAAAAACCAGUCUUCCUCAGACUUUUCCAUUAGUCUCUAAUUGUCUCAAGGGAUUAAUAUUGCAUGAAAUAAAAUUUAUUUUUGUAAGUCAUUUGUUCAAAUACAGCACAGGCUUGUAGUGAGUGAAAUUCAUCAUCAUAUUUAAGCCCUUGGACAUUCUGUGUGAAUUAAGUUGUUGAGUUGGAUGUGAGAAUAAAAAAGCAGCUGCCUCUGCGUUCUCAAAAACAUAGCAGAGUUGAGGAGAGAUCCAUUUUAGCCCCAGAGUUGUUCUCCAAGGCCAAGAUGAUGUACACUGGCUAAAUAGCUCCUAUUUUAUUUCCACCUGAAAAACUGGGCUGUGUUUAGUGAACCGAUUUUUGAUGCAUUAAGAAAACAAUUCUUCCAAACUGCUGGACCUGAUUUCUUAAAAAGAGGCUACUGGGAAUUUCUGCCCUGAAAAUUUUCCAAAAAUCUAAUGAGAGAGGAAGGUAUACAUUAUUGACAAAGGCACCUCCGCCUCUGAAUUUUUCCAAGUUGAGCAGCUGUUUGAAUAAGCAGCCUAUCCCAUUUUGAAAAGACAUUUACGAAUCUUAUUAGAGCCAAGCAUUAGAGUUCAUUUUAAUUCUGAAAGCAGAAGACUAGUUGAAAAACUAUUACUAUUUUUUAAAUUGCUUUAUUAAUUACUACGGGCUAUAUUUGGAUUUUUCAUGACUUCCCUAUAUGAAGGAUUUGACAGCUCUAUGUUAAUAUCUGGACUUGAUGAUCAGAGAGGCCUUUUUCCAGCUAAUAAAUCUGAGAUUUUUACAGAUCUGUGAUUCCAGGAGUUAACAGUACAUAAGCACAAUAUCAAUCACAAAAGUCACUCAAACUGCAAGUGCUGGUAACAAAGUAGCAAGGCAACAAUCUGCUGCUCUUUUCUGAAGUUCAGGCAAAACAAAUACAUAAUUGUUCAGGUGAUACAAAUUUAAAACAAAGAUUUUAGUAUAAACCCAGGAAUUUAGCUUGACAGGUUUUCUUUCAUUCUUCUAAGGAAAAUACAAUUCAUUUAUAUUGUAUUUUAUCUUAGUUCCUACAUAAAUUCAACCAAAACUCCCACUUAUCCUUCCCAACAGAUUCCUAAGCUGUUUUUUUAACUCUUUUCUGUCCUAGUCUUCCUCACAUAUAGCUGUUUUCUCAGACAUACAGUAGCUGUGUAACACUGGACAUUGCAUUAACUUACAAAAUCUUCACACAGAUUUGCAGCGUUGGUCUGUUUUUCCGAACAGUCAUUGACUUUGUCAUCUUUAUCUUGCAGGAUUUCCUGAAGCUCAAUUAUAUUCUGGUCAGCCAGAUGUAUAGAAUCCUAAAUGAAAAGAUGGUAGGAAGAUGAAACUAUCACAAUCUGUUUUAAUAUGCUGCAUUCACUCAUGCAGCUAUUCAAUAAUACUUCUGGAAUCAGAAAUAUUUUCCAUCUCCAACACCUGUGCAGUUGCUGUGCAGUUUCCAGUCAUUGUGAGGUUGUUUACUGUGAUAAUAUUUUCCUCUGCUUUGUCUAUUUUCAGUGUAAACUACUUAAGAAUCAAGCUGUUAAUGUUCAACUGAAAGAAUUAUGCCCUAAACUAAUGAAUAUCACACUGGAAUUCACCAACUCCUCAGGAGGAAGCCAGACUACCUUGCAUCCUCAAAAAUCUCAUUUGGGGGACUAAGUAGGACUACAGUGGUGUAUUUCAGUUACUCAGAAUUUAAAUCUCAAUGAAGUGUGGAUCCGUUUGGAUAAGGAGCUGUCAGCACCACUGCAGGCAGCAGCCCUCCUUGGCUGAGCUCCCUGGCCUUUCCCUGUUUGCAGAACCAAACACGGUGCAUUUGCCAUAAGCCCUGGCCAGCUGGCUAUUGAUCUUGCCUAGCUCCCAAACAACCUCCCUACCUGGCUGGGGCACACUUACACUUGGACAGGCCUCAUGCCAUCUACAAAGCUCCAAGUAGUCCAUGGAAGGGGGCAGGCUGAUAAAUCACAAGCCAGCCUUCUUCUCUGGAGAGGAGGGUUGAAGCAAAGACAUUUUAGAGAACUUGAGCACUCUGCACAUCUAAUACUAACCCUCAACACAACCUAAAUAUGGGGAAAGGGAAGGAGUCCUUCCAUCCACAAUAUUUAUUUUAGGAUGUUUUAAUUCAUGUGGCUGCAGCUCAGUUCUUCAAUCUUUAAUCAGAAGAUUGGUUCAAUCUCAGUUAGUCCCCCACUGCAGCAGAGGGGGGUGACAGCUUCACACAGAGAUUGAAAGUCCUGACUGCCACCAGGCAGAACCUUCUUUUCUGCACCUGUGGGUCUCCACAGAACCUGCCUCUGUCAGGGGAAAAAUGCAAAAGUGCAGGCUUCAAAACUUCUUUGCCAUCGGCUCAGUAAUGCAGUGGCAGCACAGCUUAUUUAUUUAAUAUUCUGAUGUAGACAGCCCUGCUAAUAAAUAAUUUGGUGUUGCCCAGCCAGCAGCAGAAAUGUGCGUCAAACUGGUUAUGGAGAGGGUUUGUGACCACAGAUUGCAAAAAGGCCUGUACCCACCUGGAGAUGUUGUGAAUAGAGCGAAAUGUUCUUCACACACAAUUUCACAGUCUUCUCUAGACUUUGAAACAACUUUUCUUCCUUAUUAAAAGUUCCAUCUUUCACCUAAAAUAGACAUUUGCACUGUUAUUUUGGCAGCCCAAAGGAGUCUGGCUCAUGAAAGAAACAUCCAGAGCGCUGCUAGAAAAAUCCUUGAACUCCUCCCUUUGAAAACAGAUCAACCCCUAAUUCUCUCAAGCUCCAGCUGUAAUUCAAAACCAGCAGGCAACACGGCAGAGAAUUCCAUUUUUAAUCCUUGUGGGAGCAGGGAGUUGCUUUACUACAAGGCCGACAAAAGGC